rnacentral:rRNA from 1 species
AUUGAACGCUGGCGGCAGGCCUAACACAUGCAAGUCGAACGAGUGGCGGACGGGUGAGUCAUGUCGGGGAAACUGACUGAUGGAGGGGGCUAACUACUGGAAACGGUAGCUAAUACCGCAUACCAUCGGAUCUGCCCAGAUGGGAUUAGCUAUUAGGUGUGGUAAAGGCUCACCUAGGCGACGAUCACUAGCUGGUCGGAGAGGAUGACAAGCCACAGUGGAACUGAGACCAGGUCCAUACUCCGACGGGACGCAGCAGUGGGGAAUAUUGCACAAUGGGCGCAAGACUGAUGCAGCCAUUCGGCGUGUAUGCAGAAGGCCUUCGGGUUGUAAAGUACUUUCAGCGGGUCGGCGUUACCCGCAGAAGAAGCACCGGCUAACUCCGUGCCAGCCGCCGCGGUAAUAC